rnacentral:tRNA from 2 species
GGAAGCGUGGCAGAGCGGCCGAAUGCACCCGCCUUGAAAGCGGGAGACCUGUCACAGGGUCCGGGGGUUCAAAUCCCUCCGCUUCCGCCG